AAAAAAAGAAAAGAAAAAAAAGAUUAAUCUGGUCUGAUCGAUUCUCAGUGAAACAAGAAAAACUGUCAAUAUCCUGACAGCUAACAUUAAAGAAAAGAAUAGUACAUCAGCACCAAGCAAGGUGAACGAAAACGAUGCCAGAGGAAUUGUGCCUUUGUUCCCGUGCUUCAGUGUCCCCUUCUUCAAAAAUGGCUAUGCCAGAAGAGACCAGGAAAGGUGUCUACGUCUCAAGUACAGAUAUCUUCUAAAAGUUUUUUUUUAGAGUGGAACAAGCAUUGCGCAUCUUCAAGACAUCACUGGAAGUGCUCACCUCUGUCUCCUGGCUCUGGGAAGAAUUAUUCAGUUCACCAGUACUUCAGUAUGCCAUUCCAUGCAAGUCAGUGUCUUCUCUCUUGAUGCCUUUGAAAAACUCUUUAAUGGGGUUAAUUUACCCCCACCCCAAAAAAUGAAAAUUCUGUCAUCAUUUACUCACCCUCAUUUUAUAUUAAAACUUAUAUUAAAACUAAGUCAGUGAUUCUGGUAGUGUUUAGGCCAGCAGAGAAGGCAUUGCUGGCCCUGACGGCCCACCACUGGAGUUUUCAGUUCCAGAACACCUGAGCUGUGUUAGUUCAAUCCACUCUGAGUAGGCUGACUCUGACCCUGCGUUCCAUCCAGAAGAGCUCAUCGUGUAUUAAAUAAAUUCAAUGCACACAGACUGAAGUAUUUUAAGUCUUUGGUUCUUUUAAUUGUGAUGAUUUUGGUUCACAUUUAACA
ensembl:lncRNA